UAGUUUUUGUAGUUGAAUUACAACGGUAGUUUUUCAGACUAGAGGUGUGGGUUAAAGUCCCAGCAAGAAUG
rnacentral:tRNA from 1 species